rnacentral:rRNA from 1 species
UCUUCCGCAAUGGACGAAAGUCUGACGGAGCAACGCCGCGUGAGUGAUGAAGGUUUUCGGAUCGUAAAACUCUGUUGUGAGGGAAGAACAAGUACAGUUAGAAUAGGGCGGUACCUUGACGGUACCUAACCAGAAAGCCACGGCUAACUACGUGCCAGCAGCCGCGGUAAUACGUAGGUGGCAAGCGUUGUCCGGAAUUAUUGGGCGUAAAGCGCACGCAGUCGGUUUCUUAAGUCUGAUUUGAAAGCCCCCGGCUCAACCUGGGAGGGUCAUUGGAAACUGGGGAACUUGAGUGCAGAAGAGGAGAGUGGAAUUCCACGUGUAGCGGUGAAAUGCGUAGAGAUGUGGAGGAACACCAGUGGCGAAGGCGACUCUCUGGUCUGUAACUGACGCUGAGGCGCGAAAGCGUGGGGAGCGAACAG